GACGAGCCACACGAACGUUAUUCGGAAUUACUGGGCUUAAAGGGUGCGUAGGCUGCGCGGAAAGUUGGGUGUGAAAUCCCUCGGCUCAACCGAGGAACGUGCCGCCCAAAACUACCGUGCUCGAGGAAGAUAGAGGUAAGCGGAACUUACGGUGGAGCGGUGAAAUGCGUUGAUAUCGUAAGGAACACCUGUGGCGAAAGCGACUCUGCUGGGCCGACACUGACACUGAGAGACGAAAGCUAGGGGAGCGAAUGGG
rnacentral:rRNA from 1 species